rnacentral:rRNA from 1 species
CAGUAGCGUAUAUUAAAGUUGUUGCGGUAAAAAAGCUCGUAGUUGGAUUUAUACCGAAGAUAGCCGGUCGGGUCUUCGACCUUGUAUCUGGUUUUGUCUUUGGUAUCCUCAUAGGGAACGUUUCUGCGCUUUAUUGCAUGGUGCGGUAUCUAUGACUUUUACUUUGAGGAAAUUAGAGUGUUCACGGCAGGCAAACGCCUUGAAUAUAUUAGCAUGGAAUAAUAACAUAGGAUCUUCGUCCUAUUUUGUUGGUUUCUAGGGCUAAGAUAAUGAUUAAUAGGGAUAAUUGGGGGCAUCUGUAUCAACGCGUCAGAGGUGGAAUUCUUGGAUUGCGUUGCGACAAACUACUGCGAAAGCAUUUGCCAAGGAUGUUUUCAUUGA